rnacentral:lncRNA from 11 species
GUAGAAAAAAUACGGAGACCUGGAGCUCCAGUGAUGCCUCCGAAAUAGAAGAACAUUGAGCAGUGACAAUACAUUGGCUUUUAUAAUUUUACAGUCCUGUGCCACCCUUUCGGAUUUUACUCAAUCAGAGUUUCACAACAUAGUCCAUGUCACCCUCUGUCCAGUUCUUAUCUGUCCAGUUCUUAUCUGUGGGGACUGUUUAUCCCAACCCAACAGGUACACCACGAGUGUUGAUGUCAAUCGGCAGGGGAAGAUCCAUCAAGCCUCCAGCUUAUCAAGGCCAUCUGUGUCCAGCAGGGUGAGUGAUGGGAUGCUCACAACUGGUCCACUGCAGGAUUCUACAUCCAAAAAUUCACCAAAAACAGCUAAAAUAUUGAAAAAAGGAAUUGUCAUUUCAGACCUGUUAUUUAAUAGUUGGGAAAGGAGGGAGAAAGGAUAAAGCAGUGCUUGUGUUUUCAUAACAGUUGGUGUCAAAACUGCAUUUCUUAUUCUUACCCACACAUAAGUCACAAUAAUAUAAAUUAUCCAAGAUAAUUAAGAGCAAUGCUUAUUGGAGUAAUCAUCCCAAUAAUGUUUCUCUUAAUACUGUUAACUAUUUUGGGUGUCUUUAAUAGUUGAUUUCUGCGAAGUGUGUUAAAGCACUGAGCUGUUGAACUUGCAGACCGAAAGGUCCUAGGUUCAAAGCCCGGGAGCGGAGUGAGCACCCGCUGUUAGCUCCAGCUCCUGCCAACCUAGCAGUUCGAAAACAUGCCAAUGUGAGUAGAUCAAUAGGUACCGCUCCGGCGGGAAGGUAACAGCGCUCCAUGCAGUCAUGCUGGCCACAUGACCUUGGAGGUGUCUACGGAACGCCGGCUCUUCGGCUUAGAAAUGGAGAUGAGCACCAACUCCCAGAGUCAGACAUGACUGGACAGAAAAGAUUUGUAUUUUUAAUGUUCAGAUUCUUCACCAUGCAUCAUUUAUCUCAUUUUAAAAAUGACUAGAUAAAAGUCAGCUGUUUAAAAGGAGAAAACUGAACUAAUAAUGGAAAGUAUAGCCACCCCUGAACACAACUAUUUAGCAGGCAAUUUUAUAUAAUUCCUAGACUUGUGGAAUCUAUGAAAAUUUCUAAUUCAACUCAGCAACCACAAAGAAAGAAACAAGCAAAUAGCCCUAGUAGAAUCCAUUAUAUAAUUCUAUAAAUUACUGGCUAAUGGCAUUUGUCAAAGGCUGCAAUGGUGAUCCAAAGUCAUAAUGUAAUUUGAGCUUUACAAAACACCAUUAACUGCAUUCUGUGAGGCUUUUAGUGAGUAAUCAUCAGGAGCCCCAGAAUUUCAGUAGGCGUGUUGUUAUUAAUUUUAUCUACAUGCAGGUAUCUUUUCAUAUAACUGAGAACACAAAAACUUUGCAUUAAAAUAACAACUGACUGAAGCAGAUAACACUUUGACAACCAUGCAAGCAAUGGGAAAAUAAGAAAAGAUAAAUACAGUAGAGUCUCAUUUAUCCAACAUGAACAGGCCAGCAGAACAUUGGAUUAGCAAAAAUGUUGGAUAAUAAGGAAGGAUUAAGGAAAAGCCUAUUGAACGUCAAAUUACAUUAUGAUUUUACAAAUUAAGCACCAAAACAUCAUGUUUUUUUACAAGUUUGCCACUUGUUUGGGAGUGUGGCUGCACUUGUAUUGUUGUUGUUGUUGGAUGUAUUGGCCUGCUGCACAUUGCUGCCUAGAGAAACAGCUGUGGAUCCCGGUGGGAGGCAGACUGCGUUGGAUAAUACAGAACAUUGGAUAAGCGAAGAUUGGAUAAGCAAGACAAGGGGCCGGGCUGUGGCGCAGGCUGGUUAGCAGCCAGCUGCAAUAAAUAGCUCUGAUCAAGAGGUCAUGAGUUCGAGGCCAGCCUGUGUCGGGGUGACCCGACAAUUAAAAUAAAAAAUAGCCCCUGCUCGUUGUUGACCUAAGCUUCCCGAAAGAUAGUUGCAUCUAUUAAGUAGGAAAUUUAGGUACCACUUAUAUGUGGGGAGGCUAAUUUACGACACCAUAAAAAUCAUCCAGCCACCGUUGGAAUGAGGAAGUUGCCAUCGCAGUGGAUGAUGAAGCAGCUGCUCCCCCUGUGGCCGGAAUCAAGCAUACCCUCAGGAAGCUGGAAGCUGGAGAAGGUUUAAAUUCCCUCUGCAUCUGUCUCUGUCCUAUGUUUAUAUGGCAUUGAAUGUUUGCCUUAUAUGUGUACAGUGUGAUCCACCCUGAGUCUCCUUCGGGGUGAGAAGGGCAGAAUAUAAAUACUGUAAAUAAAUAAAUACUAUACAUGAGUAAUUAAAAGAAUGAAUAAAUGUAAUGUAUCAAGCAAAAGGGAAAUAUGCACAACUAUAUUCAGUGACCAUAACAUAUUCUGACACAUCUGCUCCUGCAAUUCAAUUAAGGGCCCAUCUACAUGGGCCACAUACAUCAAUACUGAUCCUGAAUGGAGUCCUGAGUUUAGGGAAAGUAGGAUGGCUGUGUUAACAGCCCUGGCUGCUUCUGGAUAGGAAAGAACCCGUUAUCUCACCACCUUAAAGUGCAGUAGAGCUCCAAAGCAUCCUAUGACUUAAAAACAUGAAACAAGGCAUUAUAGAUAUUAGAGUAAAUGUGGGCAUUACGAAGUCUAUUCAACCACAACCUAACUCAUUUGGCCCAUGUAGAUGGGCCCUCAGAAAAAAAUAAUUGUUAAGUGAUGCAUAGUGGGGCAAAAAAAUUCCAAGCUUCACGUAUACACUGAUGGAAUCUGAUCGGGAAGCAAGUAUGGUCUUGGUCAAUAUCUCCUUGAAAAUGUCAUCGAUGUGCAGCUGCUAAAGCAGAAAUUAAAUUUCAAGAUGAGUAUGAUUAGAAUUGGAAUCCGAAACAACACUGCCAAUAUUAUACUACAACUCAUUAACUCUUUAAACGUUCUUUGGUGUGGGCUAAUCUAGUAGGAUUAAGGGCCAAUCCAGUUGGAGUAACAUGCAGCACCACUUGUGUGCACAGCCACUGAUGCCAAUAAUGCCAAGUAUUGCUUCUAAAGGGUUAGUAAAAGAAGAAGUCACAGUUUGCCUUUACAAUUUUGCCUGGUGUGUUUUGUUUACCACAGAUUACUACUGGUUUCCGAGAGAUUAGAAAUUGAAAAUAAUAUAUUUCAAGACUGCUAAUCAGCUGGGAAGUUUGCCCAUGCCUGAGUUAGCCCAUUUCACUGCUAUGCAGGCAAAGAUUUUUUUAUUUAGGCAGGCCUUUGAAUGAUUUUAAUCAUAUGUGCAAAUUGGUGUGUCUUUAAUUUAGUACUUUAAAUGUAUUUAAAAUUAUAUAUGAAUCAUUAGCUGUUUGUUUGAAUAGAGUUGAUACUAUUUUCAAACUUUUUGCAGCUGUACAUUUUUAGCUAAACCUUUACUUUAAAUUGUGUAAACCGUUGUAAGGAAGGCUGUAAAUGCAAUAAAUAAAUCAUAAAUCACAUUUCUGAAGAAGCAGUUUUACAGUUUGCCACAGAGACAAAAGCACAUUUGAGAACAAAAUUAAAACACAAAAUAAAAAAUGUCAUGCAAAAACAUAAAAAAG